rnacentral:rRNA from 1 species
UACGAAGGGGGCUAGCGUUGUUCGGAUUUACUGGGCGUAAAGCGCACGUAGGCGGAUCGUUAAGUCGGGGGUGAAAUCCUGGAGCUCAACUCCAGAACUGCCUUCGAUACUGGCGAUCUUGAGUCCGGAAGAGGUGAGUGGAACUCCUAGUGUAGAGGUGGAAUUCGUAGAUAUCAGGAGGAACACCCAUAGCGAAGGCAGCUUGCUGGGACGUUACUGACGCUAAGGCGCGAAAGCGUGGGGAGCGAACAGG